rnacentral:rRNA from 1 species
UGCCUAUAUACCGCCGUCGUCAGUUUACCCUGUGAAGGGUUCAUAGUAAGCGAAAUUGGUGAGACCCCAAAACGCCAGGUCGAGGUGUAGUGUAUGAAGGGGGAAGAUAAUGGGCUACAUUCUUUGAAGCAGAGAAUACGGAUGGUGUGUUGAAAUUACAUGCCUGAAGGAGGAUUUAGCAGUAAGCUAAGAAUAGAGUGCUUAGCUGAAAUUGGCCCUGAAGCGCGUACAUACCGCCCGUCAUCCUCCCCAAAACUAGAAAAUUUAAUGUAAAUAAGAUGUUAUUAUGGUAAAGGGGAGGCAAGUCGUAACAUGGUAAGUGUACCGGAAGGUGUACUUGGAGUAAAA